rnacentral:sRNA from 1 species
CGCCCGUCACACCAUGGGAGCUGGAAAUGCCCGAAGCCGGUUAGUUAACUUCGGAGGCAACUGUCUAAGGCAGGUCCGGUGACUGGGGUGAAGUCGUAACAAGGUAUCCCUACGAGAACGUGGGGAUGGAUCACCUCCUUUCUACGGAGAGUACACAUUUUUAUUUUUGGCAUUAACCAAAUCUUAAACUUAUUGUUUAAGUCUGUUAUGUGCGAUUAGCCAAGAUCGUUUUAUAUCUAGUUUUGAGAGUUCUACUCUCAAUUAGUUCUUUGAAAACUGAAUAUAUCAAUAUGAAAAGACAUCAAAUCUAAAAUUAAGUUUUUAUAAGUUUUUAUAAAAAAUAAUUUUAUCGAGUUUUAAUAAAUAAAAAGAUUCAUUUAAAUGUCUUAAAAUACUUGAACAAUAGGAACAUACUAUUUAAUAUUAAAUAAGUAAGAGUUUGUGGUGGAUGCCUUGGGUCUGAAAGUCGAUGAAGGACGUGAUAACCUGCGAUAAGCCUCGUGGAGCUGGAAAUACGCUUUGAAACGGGGAUUUCCGAAUGGGGAAACCUAACUAGAUUAAUCUCUAGUUGUUAAUUAGUGAAUACAUAGCUAAUUAUACGAGACACCUUGUGAACUGAAACAUCUUAGUAGCAAGAGGAAAAGAAAAUAAAUAAUGAUUCCAUCAGUAGCGGCGAGCGAAAGUGGAAGAGCCCAAACCAUUUAAAUUAAUGGGGUUGUAGGACAAUCUACAUAGAGUUACAAAUCUUACAGAUAGCAGAAUAAAUUGGAAAGUUUAAGCAUAGAGGGUGAUACUCCCGUAUGCGAAAUCUGUAAGACUCUUGGUUGUAUCCUGAGUAGGGCGGGGCACGUGAAACCCUGUCUGAAUUUGCCGGGACCACCCGGUAAGGCUAAAUACUAAUCAGACACCGAUAGCGAAAUA